AUUGAACGCUGGCGGCAUGCUUUACACAUGCAAGUCGAACGGUAACAGGUUAAGCUGACGAGUGGCGAACGGGUGAGUAAUGCAUCGGAACGUGCCCGGUCGUGGGGGAUAACGUAGCGAAAGUUGCGCUAAUACCGCAUAUUCUGUGAGCAGGAAAGCAGGGGACCGCAAGGCCUUGCGCUCUUUGAGCGGCCGAUGUCAGAUUAGCUAGUUGGUGAGGUAACGGCUUACCAAGGCGACGAUCUGUAGCGGGUCUGAGAGGAUGAUCCGCCACACUGGAACUGAGACACGGUCCAGACUCCUACGGGAGGCAGCAGUGGGGAAUUUUGGGACAAUGGGGGCAACCCUGAUCCAGCCAUGCCGCGUGAGUGAAGAAGGCCUCGGUU
rnacentral:rRNA from 1 species